rnacentral:lncRNA from 1 species
AAUGCAUCAGUUUAGCAUCAAUUUAUGAAGACAAUAAGGAAAAAAAAAGAAAGAAAGAAAAGAAGUUUCGAUCUGGAUGAGAAAGUUGGUCAUCACCGACCGCCGUGUAUUGAGUCAGUUCGACGAUGAGAAGGCGGCAUGGUUUUGAUGGUGGGAUGGCAUCGGAAGGAGCUCGGGUGAGUCAUUGGGAGCACAUGCA